rnacentral:lncRNA from 1 species
GGAUUUUGAGCAAAAAUUUGAGGAUUCGGGAGGUGCGUGCUUCUAAUCCUACACAAUCAAAAAUCCUAAAAGAAAUAGACUCAAAAACUCGAUUAAAAAAGAUUAAACUCUGAAGGAUCGGGAUUCAAACUCCGGUGGUGAAAGUCCAUCGCCAAGGUUCGUUUGUCCUAGUUUGCUGCCCUAAAAAAGGUGAAUACUUCAUCCUCUUUUACAUUUUCUUAUAUUUGUGUGUAAAAAAGAAAAAAUUCAAACUUAACUUUAUGGCGAAUGCCGUGUUGGCAUGCGAUUUUUUUUAUUUUUUAUUUUUUACUUUUUGAAAUUGGUCUUGUUUGAAUUCAAAACGGCCAUCGAUGUUAGUCUAAAAUUCUUCAAUUUUUGGUAAUAUUUGUUGAGGAAGAUUAAAAAUAAGAAAAAUUCACAAAACGAUUUGAAGGGUCGUUGCACAGGCAAACUCUAAGAUUUGUUUGAUUAAAUCAUUCUUGUUCUCUAAAAUUUUCUGAGUAGGAUCUCACUUAACCCUUUCUAGUGGAUAAGGAAAAUUAAUUUUUGGAAGCAAUACUGUGUCAACAAUAUUCCUUGUUAAUGACUUGUACUUAUCACGCCACAUAGUACCAAGGUGGUACUCUUCAAUAGGGUUGUCAACAGAGGUGUAAGCAUACUUAACAAGUAGAUUAAUGUCCAAGUUAAAAUUGACUGCAACAAGAAGAUUAUUUCUUAUAGCAUUACAAAAUUUGGGGAAGACAUGAAUUUCACCGGCAGUGAAUGAGUACUCCAUUUGAUGGAAACAAAUCAAAGGCUAAAUUUAUGUUGGUAAUAAAAAUAAGUUUGCCAUUGGAGUACUCUACUCGUGUAUUUUUUUUUUCCAUCCUUGUCCGGUGCCCGCAUUGGAACCCCGACUAAUCCGAAUCGCGCGUUGCAUGGCCAUUAAGGUGGCAGCUCUCCUAACAGAGUUUUCUUCAUACCUAGAGUCGAACCAAAUCCUACCCCAAAAGAAUAAUAUUAAAGAAGUUUCCAUAUUCAAAAUGUAUGUAUUUCAUAUUCAUUAGAUAUUUUCUAACGAGAUGUCUAAGAGUGCCUUAAAAUUCUAAAUAAGAACAUCAACUGUUGUUUUGAAGUAAUAAAUUAAAUGCAAAGAAAUAUUCAUUGGUGGUUCCAUAUUCAUACUUUUAUCAUUUUUAAAAUAUCUUUCAUAUUAGACAAAAUAAAAAAUUUAAUUAUUUUCUAAUAUUUGCUAUUUAUCUACUAAAAUUUUGGCUUUUUGGGGGAAUAAAAAUUUUGGUUAUCUGAAUAAGGUAGGAAAUUUAAAAUUUAGAACUUUAAAAUAACUUAUAGUUUUACCAUAUAUAUAAUUAAUCCUACUAAGCAAUCUCAUUAUAUUCUGAUUUUAGUAUAUUCAUAGAAAUAGUAAUUAUUUCACAAAACACAUUUGGUACAUAUUAAGAAUUAUAUACAACUAAUUUAAGUAAUUACUUAUUAAAUUUUUCAUGCAACUAUAAUUGAAUCAUUGGAUGGACAUAAUAGUCCGUCAAACAUUACUAAAAGCAUAUAUAAUGAAUUAUGGAACAUUUUGGUCUGAUGUGUAAAUAGCUAAUGCAUAACAAAAUAAUUUUCAACUCGAUUAUAUUAUUCAUAAAAUUUAUAUGAUUUUUUAAAAGUAAUGUUCAUUAUAUAAUGUACGAACAAAAAAAUAAUCUAAGUUUUUGAUGAAGUCCUAAAUUUUGGAUUUUAAAGUCGCUUAGAUUUUAUCUCGUGUAAAUUAUUUUUCUUUAGAGCUUUUGUGUUAAUUAAAAUAAAAAUUAUUAAAUAUGUUUAAUAAUCGCGCUAGAUUGUAGGUGUGAGACACAUCUAUAUCUAUAAUCUAUAAUUAUUUAUAAUUUAUAUUUAUAAUUUAUAAUAUAUUAAAAGUGUGAAGUCCCUUAGAAAAGUGAUUUGAACAUUUUACCCUUCAUUAAAAACUCCAUAAUUGACAAAACUGUCAUUUACUAUUAUAUUAUAUAUAAAAAGUUCAAAUCACUUCUCUAAGGGUCUUCACACUUUUAAUAUAUCAUAGAUUAUAAAUAUAAAUAGAUAUAAAUUAUAAAUAUAGAUAUAGAUAUAUAGUCAUUUGAAUAUAAUACAUUCAGUUAUAUGCUCGUGUAAAGAACUUUUGUCUAAAUUUAAGAUUUAAAGCUAAUUCUUAUUAAUACAUGAAAACAGAAGUAUUAUAUUGUUACCCGUACUUUGCACACGAUAUACCUUUAUAUGAUUUGGUCAUCCGAAUGUAGGUUAUGAUUAUGAUACUUAAUUAUUUUAAAUUGAAUAAUUAAAAUCUUAAAUUACAAUGACAUGUUUAAGAAGACUGCUUGAAUAUGAUAAAGUCCAAUUUCAAAUUACAUUCUAUUAAGGGUGUGUUCGGUAAGAAGGAAAACAUAUUUUUAAAAAUGUUUUUUGAUUUUCGUGUUUGAUUGACUAAAAUAUGUUUGGAACGUAUUUUUCAGAUAUACUUAUUUUUCUCAAAUUUACAGAAAAUGAGGGUAUAGAAAUUAGGAAUUGGAUCUCAAAUCGAGGUCGAAAGUUAAGUCCUGAGUUGGGAUCUCCGGUAGAGUGUCGAAUUUGGUGAUCAAGCUCAACUCUAGAGUGGGGUUCAUGUCGAGGUUGGGUCCCGGGUUUGGUUUGGAGUAAGGAGUUGGAUAUUAAGGUUUGGAAUUAGUCAUGAUUCAGGAUACAGAUCAAGUACCAUAUCGGAUCAUGAAAAAUCAAGAUCUCGGGUCAUGUAUCGAGUCAGGGUCAGAAGCGAGUUUUAGGGUUUAGAGUUGAGUCAGGAGUCGAUCACGAGUUGGGGUGCAUAUUCGGAUCUCAUUUCGGGUCAAGAAUCAAGAUCCCACUUCAAAUGUCGAGUUAGAAUCGAGUUUUAGGAUUUGGAGUUGGGUCAAAAGUUGAGUCACGAGUUAGGGUACAGAUAAGGUCCAACGUCGAUUCAUCAAGAAUCAGGAUCUCAAGACAUGAGUUGAGUCAGUGUUGGAAUUUAGAUUUUAGGGUUUGGAGGUGGGUCAAGAGUCGAGUCAUGAGUUGGGGUACAAAAUCGGGUACCAUGUCGAGUCAAAAAUUAAGAUCCCAGGUCAUGUGUAGAGUUAGGAUCGGAAGUCGGGACACGAGUCGAGGUAGAAAUCUAAUGUCAGGGUUGGGAGUGCAUUUUUGUACCUCAUAAAAUAAAUCCAUAUAGUUUUUAAAGAUUAUUAAUAUUUUUUAUGAUGAUUGAAGUUGAUAAGAGAUAACGUACAAUGCACGUUCAUAGAGACUAGUCUAUAAUCUAUAUCUAUAUCUAUAUCUAUAUCUAUAUCUAUAUCUAUAUCUAUAUCUAUAUAUAGGAAAAGUGUGAAGAUCCUUAGAAAAGUGAUUUGAACAUUUUGUCCUUCAUUAAAAGACUCUCCUUUAGACAAAACUGUCUUUUCACUAUUUUCUUCAAUUUAUUUUUUAAUUAUUUUUAUUAUAUUAACUAGACUCCUAAGAUAUAUGAGACUCUUAAAAUAUAUGGAAGGAGAAUCAAUUGAUAUUUUCCUUUGUACUGAUUAAUUAGAGAAAUACUCCUAAAAUAGGAUAAAAAAAUACUCCUAAAAUAAGAUUCUAUUAAGAAAAUACUUCUAUAAAUAUCGAGAUGCACGUUAAACUAGACAAAAACUGGUUUACUUAUUGUAAAAAUAUAAUUGAUGCUUAUUUGACUUGAUUCGGUUGCAUGUCUAGAUUGAUGGAUGCUUAAUUUUCUAACCCUCAACUUCUUCACUAUUUUUUUCAACAUAAUAGAUUCAACGUGUGUGCAUAUAUAUAUCUUCUUUGUUUUCAUUCAAGUCAUUUUUUAGUAUCAAAAUUUCAUUCAGACGAGAAUUAUUUUUAUCAAAACUGAUACUUUGUGAUUAUUAUUGUAUUAUUUUGUUGUACUUUACAGGUCGUAGAUGAUAAGUGGUAGAUGAAUGUCGGUCGGCUUUGGAAAUUUUUUUUAGGUAAAGGUUAGGUUUAAUUGUAUUAUUUUUAAAUCUCUGUUUUGAAAUUUUUUUUUGUGUAAAAGUAAAGUUUAGUUGUAUUAUUUUGAUAUCUCUAUUGUCGUAUUAUUUUGUUAUAGUUUACAUGUGGUAGAUGAGUGUCAAACAACUUUGAGGAAAUUUUUGUGUAAAUGUUAGAUUUAAUUAUAUUGUUUUGAUGUCUCUAUCGUCGUAUUGUUUUGUUGCAGUUUCAAGGUUAGAUUUAAUUAUAUUGUUUUGAUGUCUCUAUCAUCGUAUUGUUUUGUUGCAGUUUACAGGUGGUAAAUGACGAUCGACUUUGAGAAUUUUUUUGGUAAAGGUUAGGUUUAAUUAAAUAAAUUCUUCAAAAGAUGUUGAGUUUAAUUAUUGUAUUAAUUUUUAUUAUGUAAACAAAUAUUCUAUUUAAUGUAACGUUUGAACUCAAUAAAGUGAGUUACACGCGCGAGUCGCGUACACCUUAAAAAAUACGAAGCACC